ensembl:lncRNA
GUAUCAAGGUGCAUCCUUCUUUAUGGCAGAGUAGUACUCCAUUUUGUGCAAAUGCCACACUUUGAUGGACCUAUAGGCUGCUCCCAAGAUUUAGCUAUUACGAAUUGUGGUGCUAUCAUCUUGGAUAUGUGUGUAUCACUGUAAUAUGAUGUCUUUAAGUCUUUCAGAAAGAUACUGAGAAGAGGAAUAACUGGAUCGAGUGGAUUUUCUAGUUUUCGUUUUUGAGGAAUCUCCAUUCUGAUUUCCAUAGUGGUUGUAUUAGUUUACAUUCCCACUAACAGUGUAGAAGGGUUCCUUUUUCUCCCCACAGCCUUGCCAGCGUUUGUUACUUGAUUUCUUGAUAAUGCCGUUCUUUCUGAAGUGAGAUGGAAUCUCAGUGUUGUUUUGAUUUGCAAUUCUCUCUUGGCCAAAGGUGCUGAGCACUUUUUUCAUGUACCUCUUGGCCAUUUUUACUUCUUCUGAGAAGUGUCUGUUCGUUUCAAUUGCCUAUUUUUUGAUUUGACCUUUUAUUUGGGGAUAUCUAUUUUUUCUGAAUUCUUUAUUCUAGAUAUUAGUCCUCUGUCUGUGGAGUAGCUGGGAAUUUUCUCCCCACUCUAUAGGUUUUCUCUUCAUUCUGUUGGUUGUUUCCUUGGCUGUGCAGAAGCUUUUUUACUUUGAUGUGUUGAAUUCUGGUACUAUUUCUUGUGCCAUUGGGGUUCUGUUCAGAAAGUCCUUGCCUAUGUCUGUGUCAAGGGUUUUACUUAUUUGAUCUUCCUCUAGUUUGCGUGUUUAAUAUUUGGGUCUUCGAUCCAUUUCCCUUUGAUUUUGGUGCAGGGUGAGCGACGUGGGUGUAGACUCGGUUCUCUGCGGGCGGAUGGAUAAUCGGUGUUCGGAUGCCUUUUCGCGGCGGAUGGUUUUGGUUUCUUUGUUGAAGGGGAUGACAGAGGCUCCGAGAGGCCAGGCUGCUUGUCUGAGGUCACCGCAGCAGCGGUAGCAGGGCUGGACACCGAGCGGUCGUCCUGCCGUACCCUAUACCCCGCGGAGGCCUGGACGGAGCGCGCGUGGUGAGGGGGCGUCUUCCGGUGGGCUCCCUGCAGCCUGAGAGGCAGGGAAGAGCGGGAGGCGGCGCUCGGGAAGUCCUCUCUGGCCGGCCGUCCACUGUCACGGAGGCCAGGAGGCGGGGAAUCCUUCUGUGAGACCGAGCGCCAGGGAUGCCACGGGGGUGGCCCGCGGAUGUGAGGCCAGCGCAGAGUCCCGGGACCGACUUGGUGAAAUGCCAAACAGCAGUAGAUCAACAGAGGGCCACCUGGUGUCCCAGCUUUCUCCAGGCAGGCACAUCCACAUCCUCGCUCCAGCCCUGGCGGGGUCCGUCUUCCUCUCCCGCCCUAUCCGUCCUCUCUUCUGCCACAGUCAACCUUUCGUUCCCCUCUGACGAUUGGCAAUAUGGUCAAAGAAGGUAUAGGGUUUAUAGUCUCAGUCACCUGAAUUUUUAAACUAGUUGAUUUAAGUGGACAAUGCAUGGAUUUAAUUAGUGAAAUGGUACUUAAAACACUAGUCUUGAAAACAGAAAUCUCCUCCCUUUCACCUUUCCACCCGCCUAGCUCCCCAGGACCGGGGGUUGAUUAGGUGGGAGCUGAGAAAACAGCAAGGGAAAGGGACAAACCAUUUCAUCAGGUUGUUGCGGAGGCUCUUUGAAACAGACAAUACCUUUAAUUCUGCCAACUGCAAAACAUAUUACUUCCGAGAGAGCUCUUAUUACCUAUUAACCUUUUAAAAAAAUGGUGUAAAAUACAUUAAACAUAACAUUUGCCAUUUUAUCCUUUUUUUGUUUUUGGUAUUGGGGAUUGAACCCAGGCCCUUCACACUGAGCUACAUCCCCAGCCUUUUUUAUUUUGAGAGAUGAUCUCGCUAAGUCACUGAGUUGCCCAGGGUCUGGGCCCAAACUUGGGAUCUCCUGCCUUAGUCUUGCAGAGUGCUGGGAUUACAAUGUGUGCCACCACUCCCAAGUCGUUUUACGCAGUUUUCAUUGUAUGGUUGUGUGGCAUCACCUGCAAUGACCUCGGUCUGCGAGCACCACCACCCUCGCUCCCCAGAAAUCUGUCCUGAAAGCACUUGCUUUGUCACUUACAGUGUCCUCCAGGCUCCUCUGCGUUGCAACGGGUACCAGAAUUUCUCUCCCUUUGAGACUGAAUAACGCUCCGGUGCAUGGAUGGGCCACGAGUUUGAAUCCAUUUAUUUUGGGAUAGACACUUGGUUUGCUUUCACUUCCCUGCUGUUGUGAAAGAUGCUGCUAUGGACGCGGGUUUGAAAAUAUCUUUUAGCUUCUACUUUAAUUCUCGGUAUACUCACGGAGUUGCUGGAUCAUACAGUGAUCUCUCUCUUUUUUUUUACUUUUGGGAUAGCAUUUCAUUGUGUAGUCCAGGCUGGACUUGAAAUUGCUUUUAACCCAAGCUGGCCUUAAACUCCUAAUCCUCCUGCCUCAGCCUCCCGAGUACUGGGAUUACAAGCACCCCACUGGAGGGGGCUGGUGUGCCGUUUCCAUAGCGGCAGCAGCAUUUCACUCUCCUGCCAGCAUUGCAGGGUCCAAUUCCUUUAUAUCCUUGCCAGCACUCGCUUUUGGCUUUUGAUCGCAGCCACCCUAACCCUUGAC